AUUGAACGCUGGCGGCAGGCUUAACACAUGCCAGUCGAGCGGUAGCACAGGGGAGCUUGCUCCCUGGGUGACGAGCGUCGGACGGGUGAGUAAUGUCUGGGAAACUGCCUGAUGGAGGGGGAUAACUACUGGAAACGGUAGCUAAUACCGCAUAACGUCGCAAGACCAAAGAGGGGGACCUUCGGGCCUCUUGCCAUCAGAUGUGCCCAGAUGGGAUUAGCUAGUAGGUGGGGUAAUGGCUCACCUAGGCGACGAUCCCUAGCUGGUCUGAGAGGAUGACCAGCCACACUGGAACUGAGACACGGUCCAGACUCCUACGGGAGGCAGCAGUGGGGAAUAUUGCACAAUGGGCGCAAGCCUGAUGCAGCCAUGCCGCGUGUGUGAAGAAGGCCUUCGGGUUGUAAAGCACUUUCAGCGAGGAGGAAAGUGGUGAGCUUAAUACGUUCAUCAAUUGACGGUACUCGAAGAAGAAGCACCGGCUAACUCCGUG
rnacentral:rRNA from 1 species